AAGGUAAGGAUUGACGGACUGAAGGCUCUUUCUCGAUUCCGUGGAAAGUGGUGCAUGGCCGUUUUUGGUUGGUGGAUCGAUCCGUCUGGUUAAUUCCGUUAACGAACGAGACCUCGGCACUCCGAAUAGCGCGGCGGACGUCGCGGCCUCCGGGCCGUCUUCCGCACGAGCUUCUUAGAGGGACCGUCCCCCGCCGGGGAAGGAGGUGCGAGGCAACGACAGGUCUGUGAUGCCCUUAGAUGUUCUGGGCCGCACGCGCAUUACACUGACGCGUCCAACGGGUGACUCCCGACCCGAAGGGGCCGGGGAAUCCGCAAGGCGCGUCGUGAUGGGGAUUGAACGUUGCAAUUGUUGUUCACGAACGAGGAAUUCCUAGUAGGCGCGGGUCAUCAACCCGCGCCGAUUACGUCCCAG
rnacentral:rRNA from 1 species